rnacentral:rRNA from 1 species
GACGAACGCUGGCGGCGUGCUUAACACAUGCAAGUCGAACGGAAAGGCCCUGCUUUUGUGGGGUGCUCGAGUGGCGAACGGGUGAGUAACACGUGAGUAACCUGCCCUUGACUUUGGGAUAACUUCAGGAAACUGGGGCUAAUACCGGAUAGGAGCUCCUGCUGCAUGGUGGGGGUUGGAAAGUUUCGGCGGUUGGGGAUGGACUCGCGGCUUAUCAGCUUGUUGGUGGGGUAGGUGCUGACCAAGGCUUUGACGGGUAGCCGGCCGGGGAGGGUGACCGGCGACAUUGGUACUGCGGUGCGGACCAGACGCGUACGUUAGGCAGCAGUGGGGAACAUGGCACAGUGGGCGGACGCGUGAUGAAGAAGCGCCGCGUGCGGAAUGACGGCUUCCGGGUUAUGAACCGCUUUCGCCUGUGACGAAGCGUGAGUGACGGUAAUGGAUAAAGAAGCACCGGCUAACUACGUG